rnacentral:rRNA from 1 species
GACGAACGCUGGCGGCGUGCUUAACACAUGCAAGUCGAACGGAAAGGCCCUGCUUUUGUGGGGUGCUCGAGUGGCGAACGGGUGAGUAACACGUGAGUAACCUGCCCUUGACUUUGGGAUAACUUCAGGAAACUGGGGCUAAUACCGGAUAGGAGCUCCUGCUGCAUGGUGGGGGUUGGAAAGUUUCGGCGGUUGGGGAUGGACUCGCGGCUUAUCAGCUUGUUGGUGGGGUAGUGGCUGACCAAGGCUUUGACGGGUAGCCGGCCUGAGAGGGUGACCGGCCACAUUGGGACUGAGAUACGGCCCAGACUCCUACGGGAGGCAGCAGUGGGGAAUAUUGCACAAUGGGCGGAAGCCUGAUGCAGCAGCGCCGCGUGCGGGAUGACGGCCUUCGGGUUGUAAACCGCUUUCGCCUGUGACGAAGCGUGAGUGACGGUAAUGAGUAAAGAAGCACCGGCUAACUACGUG